CCAGUGUGUGCUCGCCUCCGCAGGUUCGCGCCGCGGUCGCCGGAGGAGUGGGCACCGCAGGUUAGUGUUCUUCGUUCUAUUUCGAUUCUUCUUUUUAGAAAAUCGAGUGAGCUGAUUUGGGGCUUUUUCUUCGUAGCGUCGAGCAAGGCUACCCUGCUCACCUAGGGAUUUUCCUCCAUGGCCGCCAAACUAAAUGUCUCAGUCCCAGGGCAGUGGCGGAGCUACGGGCCAAUGGUUGGGCGGGCCAACUAGAGAAGAGCACAUGAAUUUUUGCACUCGCGACC
rnacentral:lncRNA from 1 species